UACAGAGGGGGCAAGCGUUGUUCGGAAUUACUGGGCGUAAAGGGCGCGUAGGUGGCCUUCUAAGUUGAACGUGAAAUCCCUGGGCUCAACCCAGGAACUGCGUCCAAGACUGGGAGGCUUGAAUCCGGGAGAGGGAUGCGGAAUUCCAGGUGUAGCGGUGAAAUGCGUAGAUAUCUGGAGGAACACCGGUGGCGAAGGCGGCAUCCUGGACCGGUAUUGACACUGAGGCGCGAAAGCCAGGGGAGCAAACGGG
rnacentral:rRNA from 3 species